AUCCAGCAAUGGAUGACUGAGUGGCGAACGGGUGAGUAACACGUGGGUGACCUACCUUCGAGUGGGGGAUAACGUCCCGAAAGGGACGCUAAUACCGCAUAACAUCCUGCCUUUGAACAGGCGGUGAUCAAAGCCGGGGACCGUAAGGCCCGGCGCUUGAUGAGGGGCUCGCGUCUGAUUAGCUAGUUGGUGAGGUAACGGCCCACCAAGGCGACGAUCAGUAUCCGGCCUGAGAGGGCGGACGGACACACUGGGACUGAGACACGGCCCAGACUCCUACGGGAGGCAGCAGUGGGGAAUUGUUCACAAUGGGCGCAAGCCUGAUGACGCAACGCCGCGUGGAGGAUGAAGGUCUUCGGA
rnacentral:rRNA from 1 species